CACAAAAGACCACUCAGUUGCUUUUUGCGAACGUUAUUUUGUUUACGUUCUUUCCCUUGAACGGACCUACAUGCCUUAUUCACCCACAAGCGUCUAGCCCCUCAGAUGCUAGUUUCCUCCUGAUUCCUCCCUGAUCGUUUGCGCAGAUUCACGCGCAGCGUGUUUACUCCAAGGAGCUGGGCGUGGUCAAAGCCGAUUUUUUUAAAACGCCACGCGUUUAAAACGAUAUGAACUUGGUGCGCAUUACUGAAUGUACCCGUGUAUCUACACAAACCCAAUCAUUUUCAUGUUUAACAGAAUUAGAAGACAAAUUGAAAGAUUUUUUGAUGUUAUGUAAAUCUUGUUUUGUAAGAAAAGGAAACCUCUCAAGCCGGGCAUCUCAUAGAGAAUUUCCAAUUUCAUCUAAAAUAUUAUCCAGAGAAAUUUUUGCUGCUAUCUUUGAUGCAAUAUUUUUUAUUUCAUCUGUUGUUAAAAAUAAGUGACCUAAAUCAUUCCGAUGCCCAGUAUGUAUUUUCUGAUAUGACACUACACAUUUGCCAUCUGUAUGUUCUGUUACUUUUAAUGCAGCUGCACAAUAUGUAUUUAUUUUAUUGCUACCAAGGGUUUUUAAGUGACACAAACCUUUACUUUCUGAUAUAAAAUUUCCUGAACAGUGGCAUUACACCAUGUAUAUUAAAUAUGCUUACUCCAUAAGAAA